AAGGCAUCUAAGCGGGAAGCCCCCUUCAAGAUGAGAUCUCCCUGAGACUUCGAGUCUCCUAAAGGGUCCAGCAAGACGAGCUGGUUGAUAGGCACGGUGUGGAAGCGCUGCAAGGCGUUGAGCUAACGUGUACUAAUGCCCCGUGAGGCUUGACCAUAUAACCCCAAGGGGUCUGGG
rnacentral:rRNA from 1 species